UCCGGCAGUCCCAAAAUAUUAGUCAAUGCUCGAAAGAGUGAACUAGCUACUGAAUCAAUUAAAAUAAAUUGAUAACAUAAGGGAAAAUAAUGAUAUUACCUUAUUAUUAGUGUCGUCCAAAACUGGUGCCAGAAGACUCGGUAAGGCCAGAGACAUAAACGUUAAUCGUCUUAAUCAGGCGUAAAGGGUUUGUAGGCGGCUUUAAAAUUUACUUAAUUAAAUAAAAAAAAAAGAAGUAAAAAAUAAAAGCUAGAAUCAAAUAGAGGAUAUAUUAAAGAAUGCUUAGAGUAGGUCUGAUAUCUUUAGAUACUAAGUAGAAUAUUAAUGGCGAAAGCUUUUUUCCAUUAAUGAUUGACGCUCAGAAACGAAGGUGAGGAUAGGAAAUAGGAUUAGAUACCCAAAAUACCCCUCUCUGUCAACGAUGAAUGGUAGUUAUUAGUAAAGUAAAUUUUAUUAAUGACAAUGUUAACACGAUAACCAUUCCGCCUUGUGAGUACAAUUGCAAAGUUGAAAACAAAAAAAUUAGUCGGUUUCGGAGCAAACGAAGUGAAGCAUGUUAUUUAAUACGAUAAAUCCGCA
rnacentral:rRNA from 1 species